UACGAAGGGGGCUAGCGUUGCUCGGAAUCACUGGGCGUAAAGCGCACGUAGGCGGAUUGCUAAGUCAGGGGUGAAAUCCUGGAGCUCAACUCCAGAACUGCCUUUGAUACUGGCGAUUGUAGUCCGGGAGAGGUGAGUGGAACUGCGAGUGUAGAGGUGAAAUUCGUAGAUAUUCGCAAGAACACCAGUGGCGAAGGCGGCUCACUGGCCCGGUACUGACGCUGAGGUGCGAAAGCGUGGGGAGCAAACAGG
rnacentral:rRNA from 1 species